CCCUUAGAUGUUCUGGGCCGCACGCGCGCUACACUGAUGAAUUCAACGAGCACUAACCUGUGCCGAAAGGUUCGGGUAAUCUUGUGAAAUUUCAUCGUGACGGGGAUUGAUUAUUGCAAUUUUUAAUCAUAAACGAGGAAUGCCUAGUAAGCGUGAGUCAUCAGCUCACGUUGAUUACGUCCCUGCCCUUUGUACACACCGCCCGUCGCUCCUACCGAUUGAAUGUGCCAGUGAAAAGUUCGGAUUGGAGAUAGGAGACGGCAACGUAUCCUAUUUCCGAGAAAAUCUUUAAACUUUCCCAUUUAGAGGAAGGAGAAGUCGUAACA
rnacentral:rRNA from 1 species